GAUGAACGCUGGCGGCGUGCCUAAUACAUGCAAGUCGAACGCAUAGCGAAAGGUGCUUGCUCCUUUCAAGUGAGUGGCGAACGGGUGAGUAACACGUGGACAACCUGCCUCAAGUCUGGGGAUAACAUUUGGAAACAGAUGCUAAUACCGAAUAAAACUUAGUGUCGCAUGACACAAAGUUAAAAGGCGCUUCGGCGUCACCUAGAGAUGGAUCCGCGGUGCAUUAGUUAGUUGGUAGGGUAAAGGCCUACCAAGACAAUGAUGCAUAGCCGAGUUGAGAGACUGAUCGGCCACAUUGGGACUGAGACACGGCCCAAACUCCUACGGGAGGCUGCAGUAGGGAAUCUUCCACAAUGGGCGAAAGCCUGAUGGAGCAACGCCGCGUGUGUGAUGAAGGCGUUCGGGUCGUAAAGCACUGUUGUAUGGGAAGAACAGCUAGAAUAGAAAAUGAUGUUAGUUUGACGGUACCAGACCAGAAAGGGACGGCUAAAUACGUG
rnacentral:rRNA from 1 species